rnacentral:rRNA from 1 species
UACGAAGGGGGCUAGCGUUGCUCGGAAUCACUGGGCGUAAAGGGUGCGUAGGCGGGUCUUUAAGUCAGGGGUGAAAUCCUGGAGCUCAACUCCAGAACUGCCUUUGAUACUGAGGAUCUUGAGUUCGGGAGAGGUGAGUGGAACUGCGAGUGUAGAGGUGAAAUUCGUAGAUAUUCGCAAGAACACCAGUGGCGAAGGCGGCUCACUGGCCCGGUACUGACGCUGAGGUGCGAAAGCAUGGGGAGCAAACAGG